rnacentral:rRNA from 1 species
GAUGAACGCUGGCGGCGUGCCUAAUACAUGCAAGUCGAGCGAAUGGAUUAAGAGCUUGCUCUUAUGAAGUUAGCGGCGGACGGGUGAGUAACACGUGGGUAACCUGCCCAUAAGACUGGGAUAACUCCGGGAAACCGGGGCGAAUACCGGAUAACAUUUUGAACCGCAUGGUUCGAAAUUGAAAGGCGGCUUCGGCUGUCACUUAUGGAUGGACCCGCGUCGCAUUAGCUAGUUGGUGAGGUAACGGCUCACCAAGGCAAAGAUGCGUAGCCGACCUGGGAGGGUGGUCGGCCACACUGGGACUGAGACACGGCCCAGACUCCUACGGGAGGCAGCAGUAGGGAAUCUUCCGCACUGGACGAAAGUCUGACGGAGCAACGCCGCGUGAGUGAUGAAGGCUUUCGGGUCGUAAAACUCUGUUGUUAGGGAAGAACAAGUGCUAGUUGAAUAAGCUGGCACCUUGACGGUACCUAACCAGAAAGCCACGGCUAACUACGUGCCAGCCGCCGCCGUAA